rnacentral:rRNA from 1 species
UACAGAGGUCUCGAGCGUUGUUCGGAUUCAUUGGGCGUAAAGGGUGCGUAGGUGGCGCUGUAAGUCAGGUGUGAAAUUUCGGAGCUUAACUCCGAAACUGCAUUUGAUACUGCGGUGCUUGAGGACUGGAGAGGAGACUGGAAUUUACGGUGUAGCAGUGAAAUGCGUAGAGAUCGUAAGGAGGACCAGUGGCGAAGGCGGGUCUCUGGACAGUUCCUGACACUGAGGCACGAAGGCCAGGGGAGCAAACGGG